AUGGACAUCCUCCAUGAAAGGUUCUAUCCCAACCGUGGAUCUCUCAAGUAUGCCAGAGUGAUCACGCGAAGCCUGCAGAGCUCACCGCCGGAUUUUGAUCCUGUGCUACUCGCAUCCCUUGAUAUUGCUCAGUCAAGGCGUCUGUCAUCGUUCCUUAAGUAUGCCGUCAGUGAGCUCAACAGUAUAAAUGGACAUUUAGGGCAGGCUGGGGUUGGUGCUGCCACUCGGUUCAGAGAAUUGCGUGCCCUCAAUGAAAAUGCAGAUGAUUUCCUGCAAAGAGUCGCACUCCAGUAUGGCCUGACCAGGGGUGUUCUUGCCGCUGGUUUAGCACAGCUUCAUCAGGCGAUUGCGGCCGCCACUGAUCUCAUCACCAGGUUCAACGAAGAGCCAACUGCUGUCCGUCAUCUUUUCACCGCGUUUACCUCGGCAGGCCCACUGGAGUAG
rnacentral:rRNA from 1 species